rnacentral:rRNA from 1 species
UGCCCAAGAGAUCGGGAUAACACCUGGAAACAGAUGCUAAUACCGGAUAACAACAGAUGAUGCCUAUCAACUGUUUAAAAGAUGGUUCUGCUAUCACUCUUGGAUGGACCUGCGGUGCAUUAGCUAGUUGGUAGGGUAACGGCCUACCAAGGCGAUGAUGCAUAGCCGAGCUGAGAUACUGAUCGGCCACAUUGGGACUGAGACACGGCCCAAACUCCUACGGGAGGCAGCAGAU